UUGGUAUGCAUCAUGGGUACUCAUAAGUGGCCAUUAUGGUAUAGAUGAUUGAACAAGUGGCAGUGUAUAAAGUCUGUAUUUGUUAUAUCUGAUGUGUAUUUCUUUAUGUAAUUUGUCAUAACAUAACCUGCUCAUUGACAGGAUUAGUGUUAGCAGUAUUUAUGAGUACUUGUGCAUCUGUAUAGCCAUCAAUCUCCUUUACUGAGUAAGAUGGAAGUGACCCAGGGGAAGGAGCCCACGGUACUUGCUGGAUAGGAGACUGGUUGGGCCCCUGUACCGGUCUGAACCCUGUGGAGAGGAGAACAAUUUUUCUACUGUAGAGCAACCAGACCGACUCGAAUAAACCGGUGAUAGACUCGAGCUUGGAAGAACGCCCUGCAAUGAUUGGAAGG